rnacentral:lncRNA from 1 species
AGAUGGAAGGUUUUGGCUGUGUUAGGUCAAUGCAUGGGGAAAGGUGUCAGCUUCCCCACCGUGCAGUCAGUGUUGUGCAAAAGCAGAGGCAGGAUCUGAGGGCAAGACAAACUGGGGGCUCCUGCUUGAUUGUCUCACCUGCCCCUCUUUGGCAGCGGGUUGUGUCCCUGGCCUUUUAGACCUAAGCAGAGAGGGAAUUUCAAGUCAGGUGGCGCCUGUACAGUCUAUGGAAUAGGUAGUUAAUGAGGUCUGGAGUUGAUGUUGCCUUCCUCUCCUUCUCUGAUCACUUUCAUGUCACUCACCCAUCCCAGAUGCCAUGGUGUUCUCAAUGCCCCAGUUCUGGGGUUUCCUGCCCCACUCCACCUUUCCUUUCCUGAUCCUCAAGAAAACUGACUUCUUUUCCUAAGCCCCCCGUCUCCACUUUGUGAGGGGCAUUCUGAGCAUGGAGGCUAAUCAAUAUGUUCUCAGUAUCCAAUGGAAGCCUAACGUGCCACCUCUUCCAAGGGCAGUGCAUUUUAACUCAGACCCAACGCCCCAACCAAAUGAAAGAUCUCUAAUCUGGAAUUUUCAACAAUGGGGCUGGUGGGUCAGGGUGCACCAGAUCUCAGGAGGUUUAUCCAGAAGACUUUCAAGUGCCCCAAGAGGCUGAGUGGUCCGCCAAGUGCCUGCAUGUGUGCAGUCAGGAAGCUUGAGUCUGGGUUCUGCCUGGGGCAAGUCACUACAACUCCCAGAGCCUCAUUUCUGCUAUUCGUAAAAUGGAGAAGACACCUCCUAUGAUAUCAAGUCACUGACUUGUUCCCAGGGAAACUUUGAAUUUGUUAGCUCAAUGCCUGGGCAGGAACAUCUACUGAGAGAGGCCAGAACAUUUCCAUCAAAGAGGAGGCAAAUAUCUAGUGAGAGAAAAAAGUAGUUCCAAGACUGGGGGCUGGGGCACCAAAAGAAGUUGAGAGCCACCUGCAUGGUUUACUGGAGAAGUGUUGGCAGCAAGCUGGAAAUGAAACGGAGAGAGACUCUUUGAUCCACAAGGUCUGUGAGCAAGAUUGAAAGGAAAGAAAGGAAAAGAGGGUUUUAAGCCACGUUGUCAUGGAUUGGAACUGUAUCUUCUGUGAUAUUCUUUGAGAACAUCGGUAAACAUUGGAAUUGCUUGUGCUAAAAAAUGAAAUUACAUUGCUUAGCCUUGAAACUGUGCAACCUUUCAACUGCUGAUGAAAACAACCUCAGCAAGAUGAAAAUUUCUCCAUUUUCCUGAAACUAUUCUGCAUCAUAAAAUUCAUUGCAGGUGGUACCUUUAAAAAUAAAAGACUUGUAAAAAAU